rnacentral:rRNA from 1 species
UACGGAGGGUGCAAGCGUUAUCCGGAUUCACUGGGUUUAAAGGGUGCGUAGGUGGGCAGGUAAGUCAGUGGUGAAAUCUCCGGGCUUAACCCGGAAACUGCCAUUGAUACUAUCUGUCUUGAAUACCGUGGAGGUGAGCGGAAUAUGUCAUGUAGCGGUGAAAUGCUUAGAUAUGAACAUAGAACACCAAUUGCGAAGGCAGCUCACUACACGAAUAUUGACACUGAGGCACGAAAGCGUGGGGAUCAAACAGGA